rnacentral:pre_miRNA from 1 species
AUUGGGAUUACUGGGUCCAAUGGUGGUUCCAUCCCAAGUUUUCUGAGGAAUCCUUAUACUGCUUUCCAGAGUGGUUGCACCAAUUGGCAUUCCCACCAGCAAC